rnacentral:rRNA from 1 species
AGAAAGUCGAACAAGGUCUCCGUUGGUGAGACCAGCGGAGGGAUCAUU